rnacentral:lncRNA from 1 species
GCCUCGCAAGUGGAUGUAGGUCAUUUGACCGAACCACUCUAAAAUCGGCGUGAUCUUUGGUUUGCAUUUCAUUAUUGCUAUUUACAUUACUGCAAACCUUCUUACAUGCUUUAGUUCCUUAUUACCUUUGUUGCGCAACUUUAAGAAUACGCUUUCAAGUUAAGCUUUUCAAGUUCCGUUCUUAUCGUACGAAAGAUUUGUCGAAACCAACGUUUUAAUCCGCU